UGUCAGGGACAUUUCACCACGAUUUCCUUUAUCAACUGUGAUGAAAUAUUUUACCUAUAUAAACUAACUUAACUCACUUCAGAACAAUUUGCACUUCAUACAUGAAACUCUACCUUAUCUCAAUCUCACAAAACUUCAACAUAUUUUUACAAAACUCAAACAUAACUUCUUCAAUUAGUAUGGAUCAAGGAAAUGUGUCACAAAUCUUUGCAAAACAAAAACAUGAAACUCAUUUCUUUGUCUUCCUCUUCACAUUUCCGUUUUGUUGUUCCUUUUGAGUGACCGCAUUUGGUAAAACAACAUGGACAACACAAAAUGUAAAUUAUGAAGAGGCAUCAUAUGGGAUAAGAUGUUCCAAUAUGUGUGCAUCAUCUGGUCUCAGUCUAUAAGUCAAGUUUCGUGAGUAAAUUUGAGUGUUAUGUUUUCUCCCAGAGGUUAUUACAAUGAGUUGGUUAGUUUUAUUUAGUGUUAAAGUUUGUUCAAGUUCAAGAAACUUGUUGAGCAAGAUGUUUGGAACAUAUUGUAUGACACAUGGGUGCGCGUUCUGCAUAGAAUGCAUCAUAUGAUUCAAUAUUGAUUCUUGUACGAUCAAAUGAUUACUUUUGAAAGAAGUUUGUUAAUCUAAAUCAAUUUGGAUUUUUUUUAUUAA